rnacentral:rRNA from 1 species
GUGCCAGCAGCCGCGGUAAUACAGAGGGUGCAAGCGUUAAUCGGAAUUACUGGGCGUAAAGCGCGCGUAGAUGGUUUGUUAAGUUGGAUGUGAAAUCCCCGGGCUCAACCUGGGAACUGCAUUCAAAACUGACUGACUAGAGUCUUGUAGAGGGGGGUAGAAUUCCAGGUGUAGCGGUGAAACGCGUAGAGAUCUGGAGGAAUACCGGUGGCGAAGGCGGCCCCCUGGACAAAGACUGACGCUCAGGUGCGAAAGCGUGGGGAGCAAACAGGAUUAGAUACCCUGGUAGUACACGCUGUAAACGAUGUCGACUUGGAGGUUGUGCCCUUGAGGCGUGGCUUCCGGAGCUAACGCGUUAAGUCGACCGCCUGGGGAGUACGGCCGCAAGGUUAAAACUCAAAUGAAUUGACGGGGGCCCGCACAAGCGGUGGAGCAUGUGGUUUAAUUCGAUGCAACGCGAAGAACCUUACCUACUCUUGACAUCCACGGAAUUCGCUAGAGAUAGCUUAGUGCCUUCGGGAACCGUGAGACAGGUGCUGCAUGGCUGUCGUCAGCUCGUGUUGUGAAAUGUUGGGUUAAGUCCCGCAACGAGCGCAACCCUUAUCCUUUGUUGCCAGCACGUAAUGGUGGGAACUCAAAGGAGACUGCCGGUGAUAAACCGGAGGAAGGUGGGGAUGACGUCAAGUCAUCAUGGCCCUUACGAGUAGGGCUACACACGUGCUACAAUGGCAUAUACAAAGAGAAGCAAACUCGCGAGAGCAAGCGGACCUCAUAAAGUAUGUCGUAGUCCGGAUUGGAGUCUGCAACUCGACUCCAUGAGGUCGGAAUCGCUAGUAAUCGUAGAUCAGAAUGCUACGGUGAAUACGUUCCCGGGCCUUGUACACACCGCCCGUCACACCAUGGGAGUGGGUUGCAAAAGAAGUAGGUAGCUUAACCUUCGGGAGGGCGCUUACCACUUUGUGAUUCAUGACUGGGGUGAAGUCGUAACAAGGUAACCGU